CGGGACGGGUGAGUAACACGUGGAUAAUCUGCCCUACACAGGGGGACAACAGCUAGAAAUGGCUGCUAAUACCGCAUAAGCCUACAGCCUCGCAUGAGGGAGCAGGAAAAGAAAUUCGGUGCAGGAUGAGUCCGCGUCUGAUUAGCUAGUUGGAGGGGUAAAAGCCCACCAAGGCAACGAUCAGUAGCCGGCCUGAGAGGGCGACCGGCCACAUUGGGACUGAGACACGGCCCAAACUCCUACGGAAGGCAGCAG
rnacentral:rRNA from 1 species